rnacentral:rRNA from 1 species
GAUGAACGCUGGCGGCGUGCCUAAUACAUGCAAGUCGAGCGAACAGACGUGGAGCUUGCUCCUCUGACGUUAGCGGCGGACGGGUGAGUAACACGUGGAUAACCUACCUAUAAGACUGGGAUAACUUCGGGAAACCGGAGCUAAUACCGGAUAAUAUAUUGAACCGCAUGGUUCAACAGUGAAAGACGGUUUUGCUGUCACUUAUAGAUGGAUCCGCGCCGCAUUAGCUAGUUGGUAAGGUAACAGCUUACCAAGGCAACGAUGCGUAGCCGACCUGAGAGGGUGAUCGGCCACACGGGAACUGAGACACGGUCCAGACUCCUACGGGAGGCAGCAGUAGGGAAUCUUCCGCAAUGGGCGAAAGCCUGACGGAGCAACGCCGCGUGAGUGAUGAGGGUCUUCGGAUCGUAAAACUCUGUUAUUAGGGAAGAACAAAUGUGUAAGUAACUAUGCACGUCUUGACGGUACCUAAUCAGAAAGCCACGGCUAACUACGUG